rnacentral:misc_RNA from 1 species
GAUGAAGAACGCAGCGAAAUGCGAUAAGUAAUGUGAAUUGCAGAAUUCAGUGAAUCAUCGAAUCUUUGAACGCACAUUGCGCCCGUCAGUAUUCUGGCGGGCAUGCCUGUUCGAGCGUCAUUACGCCCCUCAAGUCCCCUGUGGACUUGGUGUUGGGGAUCGGCGAGGCUGGUUUUCCAGCACAGCCGUCCCUUAAAUUAAUUGGCGGUCUCGCCGUGGCCCUCCUCUGCGCAGUAGUAAAACACUCGCAACAGGAGCCCGGCGCGGUCCACUGCCGUAAAACCCCCCAACUUUUUAUAGUUGACCUCGAAUCAGGUAGGACUACUCGCUGAACUUAAGCAUAUCAAUAAGCGGAGGA